rnacentral:tRNA from 1 species
GGGGAUUUAGCUCAGUGGUAGAGCGCUUGCCUAGCAAGCUCAAGGUCCUGGGUUCGGUCCCCAGCUCUA